rnacentral:rRNA from 1 species
UACGUAGGGUGCGAGCGUUAAUCGGAAUUACUGGGCGUAAAGCGUGCGCAGGCGGUUUUGUAAGCCAGAUGUGAAAUCCCCGGGCUCAACCUGGGAAUGGCAUUUGGGACUGCAAGGCUUGAGUGCGGCAGAGGAGACUGGAAUUCCGCGUGUAGCAGUGAAAUGCGUAGAUAUGCGGAGGAACACCGAUGGCGAAGGCAGUCCCCUGGGCCUGUACUGACGCUCCAUGCACGAAAGCGUGGGGAGCAAACAGG